ACGCUCGACACCUACGGAGGCAGCAGUAGGGAAUCUUCCACAAUGGACGCAAGUCUGAUGGAGCAACGCCGCGUGAGUGAAGAAGGUCUUCGGAUCGUAAAACUCUGUUGUUAGAGAAGAACACGAGUGAGAGUAACUGUUCAUUCGAUGACGGUAUCUAACCAGCAAGUCACGGCUAACUACGUGUCCAGCACGCCGACGUAUCUGAGGCGGNNGNAG
rnacentral:rRNA from 1 species